rnacentral:rRNA from 1 species
UACGAAGGGGGCUAGCGUUGCUCGGAAUUACUGGGCGUAAAGGGCGCGUAGGCGGAUAGUUUAGUCAGAGGUAAAAGCCCAGGGCUCAACCUUGGAACUGCCUUUGAUACUGGCUAUCUUGAGUACGGGAGAGGUGUGUGGAACUCCGAGUGUAGAGGUGAAAUUCGUAGAUAUUCGGAAGAACACCAGUGGCGAAGGCGGCUCACUGGCCCGGUACUGACGCUGAGGAGCGAAAGCGUGGGGAGCAAACAGG